UACGUAGGGGGCAAGCGUUGUCCGGAUUUACUGGGCGUAAAGAGCGUGUAGGCGGCCAUACAGGUCCGUUGUGAAAACUGGAGGCUUAACCUCCAGACGUCGAUGGAAACCGUAUGGCUAGAGUCCGGAAGAGGAGAGUGGAAUUCCUGGUGUAGCGGUGAAAUGCGCAGAUAUCAGGAAGAACACCCGUGGCGAAGGCGGCUCUCUGGGACGGUACUGACGCUGAGACGCGAAAGCGUGGGGAGCGAACAGG
rnacentral:rRNA from 1 species